rnacentral:rRNA from 1 species
AGCAGCCGCGGUAAUUCCAGCUCCAAUAGCGUAUAUUAAAGUUGUUGCAGUUAAAAAGCUCGUAGUUGAAUUCGGGAUUAGUACGUUGGUCGUGCCUUAGGUACGUACUGGUGUUACUGGUUCUUACCUUCUGACGAACCAUCAUGUCAUUAAUUUGGUGUGGCGGGGAAUCAGGACUGUUACUUUGAAAAGAUUAGAGUGUUUAAAGCAGGCUCGCGCUUGAAUACAUUAGCAUGGAAUAAUGAAAUAGGACGUUGACCCUAUUUUGUUGGUUUCUAGGAUUGACGUAAUGAUUAAUAGGGAUAGUUGGGGGCAUUAGUAUUCAAUUGUCAGAGGUGAAAUUCUUGGAUUUAUUGAAGACUAACUACUGCGAAAGCAUUUGCCAAGGAUGUUUUCAUUAAUCAAGAACGAAAGUUAGGGGAUCGAAGACGAUCAGAUACCGUCGUAGUCUUAACCAUAAACUAUGCCGACUAGGGAUCGGAUGAUGUUAUUUUUAAUGACUCAUUCGGCGCCUUACG